GCCAGGCAUUGUGGCACGUGCCUGUAGUCUCAGCUACUCAGGUGGCUGAGGUGGGAGGAUUGCUUGAGCCCAGAAGUUCUAGGCUGUAGUGCACUAUGCCGAUUGGGUGUCCACACUAAGUUUGGCAUCAAUAUGAUAACCUCCCCGGAGCGGGGGACCACCAGGUUAUCUGGACCACCAGGUUCCAACCACUGGCCCAGGCUGGAAACGGAGCAGGUCAAAACUCCCGUGCUGAUCAGUAGUGGGAUCACGCCUGUGAAUAGCUACUGUACUCCAGCCUUGGCAACAUAGCGAGACCCUGUCUCU
rnacentral:SRP_RNA from 1 species